AUGAUCAUGUACCAGCACAUCAUUAGCCAUGACGAGUUGUUCUCUGACAGCUACAAGAUCCUGGAGAUUGCGAGCGAGCUGUGCCUGGAGAUGGAGGGCAAGAUGGUCAGCAGAAGAGGGUAUAACAUCGAUGACUUGCUCAUUGGUGGAAAUGCUUACACUGAAGGGCUGGAAGGCAAAGGGACUAAAGCACAGCAGUCCCCCGUGUUGACAUUGUCACGAACCAUCACUUACAGGCAUCCAGCUUCACAAAAGAAGCCUACAAGAAGUACAUCAAAGAUCAUAUGAUGUACAUGCAUGGAUUAUCUUUAAGACACAUUUCAGGAAAAGUGAAAACAGGUUUAAAGAAAAGAAAACAUCCCAAAAGAAGUGAGUGA